rnacentral:misc_RNA from 1 species
CUUUGUUCAUGGGGUUUAAAUGAUUGAGCUAAUUUACUUUCUUUGGUUGCCUAUAGAACUGAUUGUUUUUUUGUUCAAAAUAAGACGAGAUCUUGCUCUUCAAUUAUGGACUCUGUUUAGUUAUCUAAAGAAUUGUUGAGAAAUUAGGAAUUGGGAUUAAUAGUUCUAUAUUUCCUGCAUUUUAGUUUCUAAGGUAUUGUCCAAUUAAGCUUAGGUCACUAAUAUGAUCUGCUAAUUUCUGGAGAGGCUAUGAGGUUAUGUUCUCAAUUGGUAUGACUUGGAAAAUUAAAAAACUCUUGAAGUCUUGAAAGAUUAUGAAUUUAUAAUUUCAGAUUUUAUUUUGCAAGAAUUGACGUUUGUUUUUCUUGCGUGGUAGCAAAUGAAUUCCUUUGUAUUUUUAGGGCGAUGAGAUUGAGAUGAUUGAAAACUUCAGUUACUUUACUGAAAGUCUUGAUAAUCCUGUCUAGUUUUGUUAUUAUUAUUUUGGUUAAAAUUGUUUUUUAGACAUCUGUUUUCAGUAGUUGCUGGUGCAUUCUUGAAAUAAAAAAUAGAAGUAACUAGAUUUGAGG